rnacentral:rRNA from 1 species
CCCCUAGAUGUUCUGGGCCGCACGCGCGCUACACUGAACAGUUCAACAAGUCUUAACCUUCGCCGAUAGGUCUGGGUAAUCUUUGAACGCUGUUCGUGAUUGGGAUAGACCUUUGCAAUUAUGGGUCUUCAACGAGGAAUUCCUAGUAAACGCAAGUCAUCAGCUUGCAUUGAUUACGUCCCUGCCCUUUGUACACACCGCCCGUCGCACCUACCGAUUGAAUGGUCCGGUGAAAUCUCGGGACGGCGGCUUGGUCGCUUGCGUCCGACUGCUGAAACUUGAUUAAACCAUAUCAUUUAGAGGAAGGUGAAGUCGUANCA